rnacentral:lncRNA from 1 species
AAAAAUGGAGUGCGCUAACGGCUGUGAAAUGCAAGGCUGUAAGGCCCGAAACAUCAUCCAGGCUUCUUCCUGUUACUGCGGACAUGGGGAAGGGAGGAGUCGGUGGCGGCUCUGUGAACUCCUCACUUCGAAGGCGCUCUGCUCCGCGAUGAAGGAAGGUCUUUGGGGGCUGUAACGUGUUUGAAUGCUAUCGGCCGCUGUGCGAGAUUCGUGUGGGCCAGGGCAGCCGAGUGCGACUUAUUAAACGUCUUUCAUGGUUAUGUGGCACAGCUGCCGCGCCCGUUCUGGAAGUGCAGUUGGCAAUGGGUCCGCCCGCCCUUGGCCGGAUUGGGCAGACAGAACAUGGCUGCGGUGAUGGUCUCGGUGACAGCCUAUGAGGCGAGGGGCAGGCGAGUAGCUGCAGCAGCCGACUGUCGUUACUGAGUGCUGGCAGUAUUAUAAGCCCGACCAUGUAUGUUAGCUGUCGGACGGUUUUUAAAAUAUUUUUGUAAGUUUAGGGCGCAUAGCUCAAGGUCUCUAACCUGCCUCGCCGCCAAUGACCCUUAGGAUGCUUCCGGAUGCUCCCCGCCUCCAUCGCCGAGAUCCUUUGCUGCGCACUCUCACCGAGCCGUGUGAACUGCUGGCUAAUGCCGUCCAUUCCAACAACAACGACAACAUAUGGCACAACAAGG